UUCUCUCUGCCGUCAUGUAGCUCUCUAUAUCCGUGUUGUCUCUUCUCCCUUACCAUCACAUUGCUCCAGAUCACGCUCUCUCUCUUCUUUCGGACUGCAAGUGGAAAGUUGCCACCGCCAGCGAAGCCUUUGAAACGGCUUCCUUUGCUACUUCAGGAUCAUUGAAGAAGGCUCGAGCAAUACAGAACAAAACCCAAUGGCAUCGCACCUCUUGGAUAGACAGAGGAUGGGGACUGCUUGGAUGGUUUGAGCAUGAAUGACCUAAACCUACUUGAGGAAGAAAUGGAAUAGGCCACCGAGGUCAUUCGUGAGUGAAAGGUUCUUGGCAAACAAAGGUUUUUACUCAGUGAGGAUUGUAGGAUGCACCCCCAACUCUUGCUUCAACAAUGCACAACAGGGAUAUAUAUGCGUCAAGUGAUGAUUGCAUUUUGAGUUUAAUUAAUUUGUAGCUAUGAUUGCAUUUUUGUUUUUUGUUUUUAGGAAUAAGUGUUAGCUGAUAACUCUUCAUGCAAAUAAUUUUUUUCCUGAAGAAUUUGCAGCACAAUGUUGCUUAGGUCAUGCUUUUACUGAUUGUGUACCAUGGUUGGGAGAUGGCUUCAUUCCUAGAAUAUGCCAUGGUGGGGAAGGUCCCUGAACUAAAAUAGAACUUGGUGGAGUGGGCAAGAGGGGUAAAGAUGAACACCAAUGUUUAGUGGCGAACCUACAUAUAGUUGAGGGUAGGCAAUUGCCCCACCCCCAACUUGGGGAAAAUUACAACAAGGAGGGCCCUUUGUCCACCACUGCCAAUGUUCAUCUUCAAAAACUUCUAGCUCAAUAACCUUCCAAUAUAUGUUUAUUCAAUAGGUUAAAGGGCAUCUUUCUUCUUUCUUUUUGAUCUCAGUGGAGGUGAAAUACAAAGAAGCACAAAACACAAUUGCAACGAUUUAUAGCCAAACCCUUGCAAAGCUAUAGCCAAGCGCGGAUGGUUUCUUUUUAUCAAUCUCAAGAAAAUUGCUAGCGGGUUCAGGCUCAAAAAACCAAAGAGAUGACAAUCUUGAACUAGGAAUCUCUAAUAUGCUUUCCCUUGGUAUUUUUUGUAAUACUCAAACUUUUCAAUUUUAUUUUUUUAAUCUUUGAAUUAUUGAC